GCGGUUAUUCACACACACCAAGAGAGCUGCAAAGCUGUACCAGUUCCUAGUGGUGAAAAACUGGAGGUAUAUCUGAGGGGUGGAAGCUGGGUCUGAACAUGAAGGACAGGCCAUCGGAAGACCUGGGAUAGCUUCUGGCCUGUUUUCUGGAAGAUGAAUGAAAAUAUCAGGAAACCUUUCUCCAACCACUCUGCAUUCACAGGCAACUUCAUAAACGGCUGAAGCUUAAUUUUGUCAGACACUGAUACAACUUCUUGUGCAUUGAAGGACUUUGGAUGGAUGUCCAAAAUUAAUUUUUAAAUGUAAUUUUAGCUUCUGUAUUUAGCGCGAGAGAAAUCAUACCAGGAAGUCUCUGAUAACAUGGAACCCAGCUUUCCUCGUCUGUUGUAUUUCAAGAAGCUGGCACACAAGCAGAACCUUCACAAACCUUGGCUUUUCAGUCUGAAGAGGUGGCCCCCCAUUGUGCACUGCAGGCACAAUGAUGUGGGCAUUUGUCACCUUUGAGAAAGGCGAGGAAGCAGAUAGCUGUUACAUUCAGGAAUGGUUGCAGCCGUGGCAUGGCGUUGCUCUUCAUUCGACUCUUCAGAGGCCACUGGAGACCUCAGUCCAAGUGGGAAGCAUGACUCUCUUGAUGUAUCAAUCAGUGCUUACCAGAGAAGCAGAUUUAAUGCAAGAUACACAAAUAUAUAAGAAUGUACAAGAUUGGCUCAUAAUGGCUGCCCGCAAAGUCAGACGUGGAACAGUGCAAGAGGUCUGUCUACAUGUUGAAGAUCCGAAAGAUUCAGUCAAAUGCCUGGAAGUGACUGUAGUAUCCUGUGUGAGUCCAUAUUCAGAGGCUGAAGAGCCUGUCGUGGAAGCCAGGAGAUAACGUCCAUGGUGAAGGUGAAGACCUGAGCUCCUCUGAAGAAGGAGAAGUGAGCCUUCCUUUUUCAUGAACCUCUUACACCAUUCUGGUGACAAUUCUGCCUAGGGUGGUCUUCCCCACCCAUGUUUAUGCUAAGCCAAUCUAGUUAGGAUUUUUACUUAACUUUACACAAUCAAUUAACUAUCACGUUUGAUAUACCAUUUAUUUUCACACUUGAUGCUAGAUAAAUGUGUCAUAAAAUAAGAAAAUGUGUCACAAAAGAAAAAAUAUGUCACAAAAAUAAGAAAGUGAUAAGGAAAUGACAAGGAAAGACUGAUAAGUAGCAAAAGUUUUUUGUCAAAUGAUGCAUUUAUAUAGUAAGGCAUAAUUGAAAAUGUGAACUUUUAUGUGAAGCAUGAUCUUAAAUAUUGGCAACAAAAAUUAUGUUGUGUAGGUUAUUUUUGCAAAAUAACAUGGUCUAAACUGACCACAGUGGCCUCUGGAACACAUUUUUUUUUUUUUUUUUUUUUUUUUGUAGAGAGUGGGAUUUUGUUUUAUAUCUGUUGGUUUGGGGAUUAUUUUUAAUAUUAUCAUAACCACUUUCAUCUGUUCUUCUUUUAGUCUAUGUCUAAUGCAGGACUUCGGCGACAAACUUUAGUAGUUGUUCAGAUGGUCCCUGAGCUGGUCUAGAGUCCAGGUGAUCAGCUCUACUCACCUAGCCCUGCCCAAGGGAAGUGCGCCCCUAGAGGCCAACAGCAGAGCACCUUCCUGUGGCUUCUUGUUUAACUGAGGUCUAUGAGGCGGGUGGAGAGGCCCAUGAUGACAGCAAAGCCCACCUGCUAAUUGUGAACCCAAUCCACUGCCAUGUGACCUAUCUGUAGUAAGACAUGUUAGUAAAACCGGGCUGAUCUUGGUGGAGACCAAAAAGGCCCCUUUGUAUAGACCAGGAGAAGCCCACAACAGGCUGGGAAGCAGGAAAAAUGUAGCCCCUAGACCAUCGUCUGAUGUCACAAAGCAGGAAAUUAGUAGGAGCACUCCGUGUCCUUGCAGAAGGAAGGGGCCUCGCACUCUAGCUUCUUUUGACUCGAUCCUGUUUGCUCAGUGGUCUCUGAGCUGCUAGUUACCCGUUAUGCACAUUUUAUUGUUUGGCAAAAGCCAAAUGAACACAGCUCUUCUAGUUGCUGGGAAGGAAUCUUCCCUAUUAUGGAUUUAGUAGCUUGGGUUAUAAAUCAGUUCUCCAUGAACUUGGUUAACGUAACUCAGGCUGCAAAACCCUGCUGAACCGAAGCAGAGAAGCCCAGGACUCUGGCUUCCUCCCCUGCUUGGGAGGCUGGGUUUUGGGAAGUGGGGUGGAUGUGCCGAGGCUGCCUGUUCUGUGACAGCACACUGACAUUUUAAAACUUUAAAACCAACUUGAGAAAAUCGAUUUGUGAAAUGGUAUUUUGAUGGAAAAUUUUUGUCUGUGAUCCACAGUCCUUAGCACUUUUCCUUAUUUUUUUCAAGAUGUAAAAAUUGAGGUGGAUAAUUAUGUGGAGUUUCCAUAAAAUUCUUGCCAAAGAAUUUUUUUUCUGUUCUCAGGAAAAUUCCCUGGCUUAGCAAUAUGGUCACUUCCUGGCAAAUCCCUGGCAAUCUUGAACUCAGGGGAUCUGAAAUGCUUAUUCCUCCAGGGAGAUAGUUGGCUCCUGUAGGUGCUUCUCCUUCCAGCAUACAGGAGAAAAGAGAAAACAAUUUUAGAUGAAGUGAUUGAAAUUUUGACCAUCCUAGUGCCCCAAAGAGUUCUCAAAAUCUAGUGACAGCUGGAUUUGAUUCAAAAAUUUUGCAAUAAGAUAUGAAUCAAUAAAACUGCUUGCUCCCUGCUCUCUCCUUUCAUCUGCAUAUAGAUGGAACUAUUUUUCAUAUGUGCGGAACCCUGAUCAAGUCUUCAGGCUCCUUGGCUCCUGGGCCUUGGCCAGCACUGCUCCUGAGAGAGCCUCAGGUAGCCGAUAUCACACCUUCUGGGGGCUUCUGCCACACUUGACAUUUGUCAUUCUCCUUCAUCGCUCUUUCUCCCUUAAUUCUAACAGACUUUAAUUAAAAACAUGAUGCUACAAGAAAAAUGCCUCAGGGACAUUUUCUCCCUAAAGCUCAC
ensembl:lincRNA